UACAGAGGUGGCAAACGUUGUCCGGAUUUAUUGGGUGUAAAGGGCAUGUAGGUGGCUUUGUAAGUCAAAGGUGAAAUGGCCCGGCUCAACCAGGUCAUUGCCUUUGAAACUGCCGAGCUUGAGUUCGGAAGAGGAAAGCGGAAUUCCCAGUGUAGCGGUGAAAUGCGUAGAUAUUGGGAGGAACACCGGUGGCGAAGGCGGCUUUCUGGUCCGAAACUGACACUAAGAUGCGAAAGCCAGGGGAGCAGACGGG
rnacentral:rRNA from 1 species